rnacentral:rRNA from 1 species
GCGGGGGACAACAUUCGGAAACGGAUGCUAAUACCCCAUAGGUGGAUUGGUCGCAUGACGAAUUCAUUAAAGGUGGCUUUGCUACCACUCAUGGAUAGCCUCGCGGCGUAUUAGCUAGUUGGUAAGGUAAUGGCUUACCAAGGCAGUGAUACGUAGCCGACUUGAGAGGGUGAUCGGCCACACUGGGACUGAGACACGGCCCAG